AUGUUCGAUGUCAUGUACAAGACUGAUGGCAUUGGUCUCUCGGCACCACAAGUUGGAGUGAACGUGCAGCUCAUGGUAUUCAACCCAGCUGGAGUGAAAGGGGAAGGAGAGGAAAUUGUCCUUGUCAACCCAGUAGUUUACAAGUUCUCGAAGCGCUUGUCAGUCUAUGAAGAAGGGUGCUUGUCGUUCCCUGGAAUAUAUGCCAAUGUGCUGAGACCAGACACUGUUAAAAUUGAUGCUCAAGAUGCUAGUGGAGCAAAGAUCAAAGUUAAAUUAUCAGAACUAUCUGCAAGAGUUUUCCAGCAUGAGUUUGAUCAUUUACAGGGAAUCCUUUUCUUUGACAGAAUGACUAUGGAUGUUGUUGAGAGCAUACAUGAGCAGCUGAAGAGUCUGGAGGACAAAUACGUGGAAAUAACAGGACAAGCAAGCCCUGAAACCAUAUCAAACUACAGAGGGACAAAGGAUGUCGUUAGUUUUUCAAGAUGA
rnacentral:rRNA from 1 species